AGAGUUUGAUCCUGGCUCAGGAUGAACGCUAGCGGCAGGCUUAAUACAUGCAAGUCGAGGGGCAGCACAGGUAGCAAUACUGGGUGGCGACCGGCAAACGGGUGCGGAACACGUACACAACCUUCCUUUUAGUGGGGGAUAGCCCUGAGAAAUUUGGAUUAAUACCCCGUAAGAUGAUUUAGUGGCAUCACUAGAUUAUUAAAGCUCCGGCGCUAGAAGAUGGGUGUGCGUCUGACUAGGUAGUUGGUAGGGGUAACGGCCCACCAAGCCAACGAUCAGUAACUGGUGUGAGAGCACGACCAGUCACACGGGCACUGAGACACGGGCCCGACUCCUACGGGAGGCAGCAGUAAGGAAUAUUGGUCAAUGGACGCAAGUCUGAACCAGCCAUGCCGCGUGGAGGAUGAAGGUCCUCUGGAUUGUAAACUUCUUUUAUCUGGGAAGAAAUGCAUCUUUUCUAAGGUGUUUGACGGUACCAGAUGAAUAAGCACCGGCUAACUCCGUGCCAGCAGCCGCGGUAAUACGGAGGGUGCAAGCGUUAUCCGGAUUCACUGGGUUUAAAGGGUGCGUAGGUGGGCAGUUAAGUCAGUGGUGAAAUCUCCGGGCUCAACCCGGAAACUGCCAUUGAUACUAUCUGUCUUGAAUAUCGUGGAGGUAAGCGGAAUAUGUCAUGUAGCGGUGAAAUGCUUAGAUAUGACAUAGAACACCAAUUGCGAAGGCAGCUUACUACCCGAAUAUUGACACUGAGGCACGAAAGCGUGGGGAUCAAACAGGAUUAGAUACCCUGGUAGUCCACGCCCUAAACGAUGGAUACUCGACAUACGCGAUACACAGUGUGUGUCUGAGCGAAAGCAUUAAGUAUCCCACCUGGGAAGUACGACCGCAAGGUUGAAACUC
rnacentral:rRNA from 1 species